AAAGAUAGAGCUAUACAUAUAUUUUUUUACUUUUAUUUUUAUUGGAAUUUACAUAUAAUUUUUUAUUUUUGGUCACCAGAAUAUACGUACUGUAUACUUAAAUGGCAAAAUACAGUCCUUAAAUUUAGCUAUAAUUGGAUGAAAAUGAAAAAGACAUGCGUACCUUAGCCUUUUUUGUUGGCCACGUCUUUCUUUUAAAACACAAUGUGUAAAAAAAUAUGAUUAUGAAAGCCUCUACACUAGCUAUAAUUAUAAUGUGUACUAUCAAUAUUCAAUACACACUCAUUAUAAUUUACAACAAAUGAGAAAAUAAAUGCAUGGG
rnacentral:lncRNA from 1 species